rnacentral:rRNA from 1 species
AGUGAACGCUGGCGGUAGGCCUAACACAUGCAAGUCGAACGGCAGCACAGUAAGAGCUUGCUCUUACGGGUGGCGAGUGGCGGACGGGUGAGGAAUACAUCGGAAUCUACUUUUUCGUGGGGGAUAACGUAGGGAAACUUACGCUAAUACCGCAUACGACCUACGGGUGAAAGCAGGGGAUCUUCGGACCUUGCGCGAUUGAAUGAGCCGAUGUCGGAUUAGCUAGUUGGCGGGGUAAAGGCCCACCAAGGCGACGAUCCGUAGCUGGUCUGAGAGGAUGAUCAGCCACACUGGAACUGAGACACGGUCCAGACUCCUACGGGAGGCAGCAGUGGGGAAUAUUGGACAAUGGGCGCAAGCCUGAUCCAGCCAUACCGCGUGGGUGAAGAAGGCCUUCGGGUUGUAAAGCCCUUUUGUUGGGAAAGAAAAGCAGCAGGUUAAUACCCCGCUGUUCUGACGGUACGCAAAGAAUAAGCACCGGCUAACAUCGUG